rnacentral:rRNA from 1 species
GGGUCAUUAGGUUGGUCGUGCCACCGGUACGUACUGGUCUCACUGAUUCCUCCUUCCUGAAGAACCGUAAUGCCAUUAAUUUGGUGUUGCGGGGAAACAGGACUGUUACUUUGAAAAAAUUAGAGUGUUUAAAGCAAGCUAACGCUUGAAUACAUUAGCAUGGAAUAAUGGAAUAGGACGAUCGAUCCUAUUUUGUUGGUUUCUAGGAUUGACGUA